rnacentral:rRNA from 1 species
GAUGAACGCUGGCGGCGUGCCUAAUACAUGCAAGUCGAGCGAAUGGAUUAGGAGCUUGCUCUUAUGAAGUUAGCGGCGGACGGGUGAGUAACACGUGGGUAACCUGCCCAUAAGACUGGGAUAACUCCGGGAAACCGGGGCUAAUACCGGAUAAUAUUUUGAACUGCAUGGUUCAAAAUUGAAAGGCGGCUUCGGCUGUCACUUAUGGAUGGACCCGCGUCGCAUUAGCUAGUUGGUGAGGUAACGGCUCACCAAGGCAACGAUGCGUAGCCGACCUGAGAGGGUGAUCGGCCACACUGGGACUGAGACACGGCCCAGACUCCUACGGGAGGCAGCAGUAGGGAAUCUUCCGCAAUGGACGAAAGUCUGAUGGAGCAACGCCGCGUGAGUGAUGAAGGCUUUCGGGUCGUAAAACUCUGUUGUUAGGGAAGAACAAGUGCUAGUUGAAUAAGCUGGCACCUUGACGGUACCUAACCAGAAAGCCACGGCUAACUACGUGCCAGCCGCCGCGGUAA